GCGGCGUGCUUAACACAUGCAAGUCGAACGGAAAGGCCCUGCUUUUGUGGGGUGCUCGAGUGGCGAACGGGCGAGUAACACGUGAGUAACCUGCCCUUGACUUUGGGAUAACUUCAGGAAACUGGGGCUAAUACCGGAUAGGAGCUCCUGCUGCAUGGUGGGGGUUGGAAAGUUUCGGCGGUUGGGGAUGGACUCGCGGCUUAUCAGCUUGUUGGUGGGGUAGUGGCUUACCAAGGCUUUGACGGGUAGCCGGCCUGAGAGGGUGACCGGCCACAUUGGGACUGAGAUACGGCCCAGACUCCUACGGGAGGCAGCAGUGGGGAAUAUUGCACAAUGGGCGGAAGCCUGAUGCAGCAACGCCGCGUGCGGGAUGACGGCCUUCGGGUUGUAAACCGCUUUCGCCUGUGACGAAGCGUGAGUGACGGUAAUGGGUAAAGAAGCACCGGCUAACUACGUGCCAGCAGCCGCGGUGAUACGUAGGGUGCGAGCGUUGUCCGGAUUUAUUGGGCGUAAAGGGCUCGUAGGUGGUUGAUCGCGUCGGAAGUGUAAUCUUGGGGCUUAACCCUGAGCGUGCUUUCGAUACGGGUUGACUUGAGGAAGGUAGGGGAGAAUGGAAUUCCUGGUGGAGCGGUGGAAUGCGCAGAUAUCAGGAGGAACACCAGUGGCGAAGGCGGUUCUCUGGGCCUUUCCUGACGCUGAGGAGCGAAAGCGUGGGGAGCGAACAGGCUUAGAUACCCUGGUAGUCCACGCUGUAAACGGUGGGUACUAGGUGUGGGGUCCAUUCCACGGGUUCCGUGCCGUAGCUAACGCUUUAAGUACCCCGCCUGGGGAGUACGGCCGCAAGGCUAAAACUCAAAGGAAUUGACGGGGCCCCGCACAAGCGGCGGAGCAUGCGGAUUAAUUCGAUGCAACGCGUAGAACCUUACCUGGGUUUGACAUGGAUCGGGAGUGCUCAGAGAUGGGUGUGCCUCUUUUGGGGUCGGUUCACAGGUGGUGCAUGGCUGUCGUCAGCUCGUGUCGUGAGAUGUUGGGUUAAGUCCCGCAACGAGCGCAACCCUUGUUCACUGUUGCCAGCACGUUAUGGUGGGGACUCAGUGGAGACCGCCGGGGUCAACUCGGAGGAAGGUGGGGAUGACGUCAAGUCAUCAUGCCCCUUAUGUCCAGGGCUUCACGCAUGCUACAAUGGCUGGUACAGAGAGUGGCGAGCCUGUGAGGGUGAGCGAAUCUCGGAAAGCCGGUCUCAGUUCGGAUUGGGGUCUGCAACUCGACCUCAUGAAGUCGGAGUCGCUAGUAAUCGCAGAUCAGCAACGCUGCGGUGAAUACGUUCCCGGGGCUUGUACACACCGCCCGUCAAGUCAUGAAAGUUGGUAACACCCGAAGCCGGUGGCCUAACCGUUGUGGGGGAGCCGUCGAAGGUGGGACUGGUGAUU
rnacentral:rRNA from 1 species